UCAUUGGGAAUGGUUGCUGAUUUGGAUUUUAUAUAUGGAGAAACUUUUAGUUUUAGGGUGAAGAGAACGGGGAAAAUGAAAGAGAGGCGGAACUGGAAAGGAUGGAAAAAGAGAACAAAUCGUAGUCCAAGGAACUUAUUCCUUUGUAGAAAUGGAUGGUAUGGGAAACACUGUAGCACGAGGGAGUGCGAGAAGAGUCAAUCUUUUCUGGCUUCUUUUGCAACUUCCAACCUAUCCGGUGAUAUCUUAGUCUGACAGGUGGAUUUUAGACAAGAAGCUCUGAAGUUAUGGGGCGAUCGAGUCUACGGAAUUAAAUUUUCCAUUGAGCAACUACGUAAAUGACAUGGAGGAGCUGACGUUGUUUACCAAGAAAGACUACCUGCUCCAUAUCCGAAGUUUUCAGAAACAUGACAAGCUUUGCCAGGGCAAUGUCCAAAUAUAGUGGAGUUUCAAGGUAAUCUCUCUUGAAAAGAAUAUAUACACGCUUUGCCAAGGGAUUAUCUAAUUGACAAAUUUAUCUGAAGCUUUGAGGACUAUUUGCAAUUAAUUAAGUUGUCACUGCAAGAGAUUAUCAAAUCAGCAAUAAUUGUUUCAAAAUCAUGUGUGUGUAGAUGAUAGGAGUACUACUGCAAAGAGAUUAUCAAGUUUCCAUAUUCAUUGUAAACUCUAAGUUUUAGAUAAGUAGAAAAGCCAGCAAAGUUGAGGUUCAAUUUCGACUAUUUUCUCUCCACAUGCAUCCUCAAUAAAAUUCAAGUUGGUGGUGAUA